UAACAACUCACCUGCCGAAUGAACUAGCCCCGAAAAUGGAUGGCGCUAAAGCGUGUGACCGAUACUCAACCAUUGUAGCGAGAGUGAUGCUACAAUGAGUAGGAGGGCGUGAACGUUGUUGCGAAGCCUCUGGCGUGAGCCUGGGUUGAACAGCGUUUAGUGCAGAUCUUGGUGGUAGUAGCAAUUAUUCAAAUGAGAACUUUGAAGGCCGAAGUGGAGAAGGUUUCCGUGAGAACAGCAAUUGGUCACGGGUGACUCGAUCCUAAGACAUGGGGGAAAUCCUUGUUAAGUGUGCCAUCUGGCACGUAGUCGAAAGGGAAUGAGGUUAAUAUUCCUCAAGCUGGAUGUGGGUGUUGUAUGGUAACAUAAAUGAGCUCAGAGACGCCAGCGUGAACCUCUGGAAGAGUUAUCUUUUCUUUUUAACAGGUUAGCGACCGUGAAUGGGAUUAUCCCGAGCUACGGUUGUAUGCCUGGAAGAGCACCUUGCUUUUCGAGGUGUCAGGUGCGUUCAUGAUGGUCCAUGAAAAUCUGAGUGAGAUACUUCACACCAGGUCGUACCCAUAACCGCAUCAGGUCUCCAAGGUUAGCAGCCUCUGGCCAACUAGAAGAAUGUAGAUAAGGGAAGUCGGCAAAAUAGUUCCGUAACUUCGGGAAAAGGAAUGGCUCUGAGGAUAGGGCGGCUGGGGCCUCUUCGGAAGAUCAAGUUGUCUUGCAUUUGUGAUUCGCGUUACGAGUAUGAGACGACGACAAUCCACACGUUGAGGUUCGGGUUUCGGCCUUCCCUCCGCAAUGAACUAUCAACUCAGAACUGGAGCGGACAAGGGGAAUCCGACAGUUUAAUAAAAACCAAGCAUUGUGAUGGCCAUAACACGGUG
rnacentral:rRNA from 1 species